AGGAAUAUGGUGUAGUUGGAAACACUCAGGACUUUGACUCCUGCAUCACAGGUUCGAGUCCUGUUGUUCCUG
rnacentral:tRNA from 1 species